rnacentral:rRNA from 1 species
CAAUAGCGUAUAUUUAAGUUGUUGCAGUUAAAAAGCUCGUAGUUGGAUUUCGGUUAAGAGCGACCGGUCCGCCGUUUGGUGUGCACUGGUUGGUUUUAACUUCCUGUAGAGGACGUGCUCUGGGUUUAACGACCUGGACUCGGAGUCUACGUGGUUACUUUGAAAAAAUUGGAGUGUUCAAAGCGGGCUUACGCUUGAAUAUUUCAGCAUGGAAUAACACUAUAGGACUCCUGUCCUAUUUCGUUGGUCUCGGGACGGGAGUAAUGAUUAAGAGGAACAGUUGGGGGCAUUCGUAUUUCAUUGUCAGAGGUGAAAUUCUUGGAUUUAUGAAAGACGAACUUCUGCGAAAGCAUUUGCCAAGGAUGUUUUCAUUAA